ensembl:lincRNA 2810030D12Rik RIKEN cDNA 2810030D12 gene
CCGAGGUUAGAAGACCUGGAUCCACUUUGCAGGAUUUUAAAUAUCCUUCAAGCCUCAGUGCCUGGCAGACUGGACUUUGGACUUCGGACUUCCAGCUCCGAUGCUGAAAAAGGAGGGUUUUUUUGUUUGUUUGUUUUUCCACUUUGCUUCCUUGCUUGUCGAGGCUGAGAACAUACGGUGUUUUUGAGGGCCACCAUCAAAGGGUACUCGCUUCUCCAAACCUUGGAACCCGAGGUCUAGCCUUGGAAAGAGUUGCCGCCUUACCAUCUCUCCUCGCCUAGGGAAGCCCCAGCUGUGUGCGCUACUGCAGGGUCACAGUGCCGCGGUGCCGAGCUUCUUUCGUGGUCCCUGUCGCCGUCCGUUUCUUGAGAUUUCAGACUCUGGGCUUGGAAACCAGUUGACUGCCUUUCUUAGCGAGGUGCCCUCGGAAACCUGUGGAGGAAUGUUUGGAUUAUGAAUGCUCACCGUGCCGAGGUUUUGAGACUACUGUAAGACAGAUGAGAAAACCUGAGGUUUUGACAGUUCUUGGGGAAUAUGCACGAAAUUUCCCAGAAAGGAGUUGCUUUUUCAAGUUGAACCUUCUGCGAGGAGACUGAUCAACCAAUGUGGAGAGGUUGGAAUGUUGCAAGUUCAGAGCCAACUUAUCUCAGGCCAUCUUUAAUCUCUCCUGACAGUCCUCGAAGCUAUGUGACAGAGGUGGAGCACCUGGAAUGCAUAGAGAACCAGGUUCCCUUUGGAAAAUAUUCACUCGCUUCCACCAGCCCAAACCCGAAGGUACCAUCAGUACGUGAGGCCUACAACAGGGUUCUCUGUUUUCCUGUAGCCAGCCUCUCUGAUGCUCCCAACAAUGUAUUUG